rnacentral:rRNA from 1 species
CCUCAAAUCAGGUAGGACUACCCGCUGAACUUAAGCAUAUCAAUAAGCGGAGGAAAAGAAACUAACAAGGAUUCCCCUAGUAACUGCGAGUGAAGCGGGAAAAGCUCAAAUUUAAAAUCUGGCGGUCUUUGGCUGUCCGAGUUGUAAUCUAGAGUAGUGUUACCCGCGUUGGACCGUGUACAAGUCUCCUGGAAUGGAGCGUCAUAGAGGGUGAGAAUCCCGUCUUUGACACGGACUGCCAAGGCUUUGUGGUGCGCUCUCAAAGAGUCGAGUUGUUUGGGAAUGCAGCUCAAAAUGGGUGGUAAAUGCCAUCUAAAGCUAAAUAUUGGCGAGAGACCGAUAGCGAACAAGUACCGUGAGGGAAAGAUGAAAAGAACUUUGGAAAGAGAGUUAAACAGUACGUGAAAUUGCUGAAAGGGAAACGCUUGAAGUCAGUCGCGUUGGCUGGAAAUCAACCUUACUUUUGUUGGGUGUACUUUCUGGUUGACGGGUCAGUAUCAGUUUUGACCGGUGGAUAAAGGUGCAGGGAAUGUGGCUCCCUCGGGAGUGUUAUAGCACUUGUAUCAUAUACAUCGGUUGGGACUGAGGUACUCAGCACGCCGCAAGGCCGGGUUUCGAACCACGUUCGUGCUUAGGAUACUGGCAUAAU